rnacentral:rRNA from 1 species
ACUCCUACGGGAGGCAGCAGUGGGGAAUUUUGCGCAAUGGGGGAAACCCUGACGCAGCAACGCCGCGUGAGUGAUGAAGGCCUUCGGGUCGUAAAGCUCUGUCAGAGGGGAAGAAAUGCAGGGUGCUAAUAUCGCUUCUGCUUGACGGUACCCUCAAAGGAAGCACCGGCUAACUCCGUGCCAGCAGCCGCGGUAAUACGGAGGGUGCGAGCGUUGUUCGGAAUUAUUGGGCGUAAAGCGCGUGUAGGCGGUUUGUUAAGUCUGAUGUGAAAGCCCCGGGCUCAACCUGGGAAGUGCGUUGGAAACUGGCAGACUUGAAUACGGGAGAGGGCAGUGGAAUUCCUAGUGUAGGAGUGAAAUCCGUAGAUAUUAGGAGGAACACCGGUGGCGAAGGCGGCUGCCUGGACCGAUAUUGACGCUGAGACGCGAAAGCGUGGGGAGCAAACAGGAUUAGAUACCCUGGUAGUCCACGCCGUAAACGAUGAGAACUAGGUGUUGCGGGUA